rnacentral:ncRNA from 1 species
CGACCUCGUGCGGGAGAGACCCCUGAUCUUGAAGGGGCGCCGAAGGAGCAAACCUCCCCGGAAUCUCUCAGGCAUCCGUACCGCACGGACGAG